AGAAUCAACGCUGGCGGCGUGCCUCAGACAUGCAAGUCGAACGCGAAAGUCUCCUUCGGGGGAUGAGUAGAGUGGCGCACGGGUGAGUAACACGUGGGUAAUCUACCUUCGGAUGGGGAAUAACAACCGGAAACGGUUGCUAAUACCGCAUAAUGCAGCGGCACCUAAUGGUGACAGUUGUUAAAGCGGGGGAUCGAAAGACCUCGCGUCUGAAGAGGAGCCUGCGGCGGAUUAGCUAGUUGGUAGGGUAACGGCCUACCAAGGCUACGAUCC
rnacentral:rRNA from 1 species